GUGACUUCAUAACCUCCCUAAGCCUUUUUGUUUUCAUCUGAAAUGUAGGUGUCUGUAUCUUGGGUUGCUGUGUUGCUUAUGUGCCUGUAGCCUAAAAGAGUUACAGAUUUAUUUGAGCAACUCUUUGAGUCAUGAACUCCACCAGGCUGAUGAGCAUAAAAGUUUGGUUUACCCUGUCAAGGCUCAAUAAAGAAGACCAGAGUGACAUAAUGAAUUAAACUAAUGGGCGAGAGCUGCUUCCUCCUCCUUUCUUCCUGUAUGUGUUCAGCGUUUCCAACAACUUCAGGUCCUUUUCAGACAACACCUUAACUCAAAAGACUUCUCGGGCUGCUCUCAAGGUAACUGUUACUGACUCUCUUUGCAAGUUUCCCUGUUCACCUCUUACCCCCCGUGAUUCCUCUCCUGCAUUAAGCAUUGUCUUAAGACAUCUGUGGGCAUCUGAUCAUGGCGUUCUGUGGGCAGGGACUGUGUCAUCCUGUACAAUCCUAGAUCUAUCCCCAUUGUUCAGUCCAGUUCCUGCACCAGAGGCUCAAUCAAUAUUUGAUAAAAGAAUAAUCAACAAGACGAGACUCUAAGUUGGAAACUUUCUUGCCUGUGUCCAAGGUCAAAGUGAAAUGUAAAUGUCAGUGGUCACGAUAGAGCUUACAGGACUCAGCCAGUUUGCUGACCUCCUUACUCCUGUGCAAAGGGUCUGAAAAUGCAGUGUGCAUUCAAUCUGAGGGACCCGAUUGAAGUCUUAGUGAGAACUCAAACUGUGAAAAAAUAAAUAAAUAAAAGGAAUGACUAAGAAAGAAAAGAAGGAGGUGAGGAGAAGAACAGAAGAUAAACUCUUCAAAGAAAACUGCUGAGUAGAAAUGUGCAGGAAAAGACUACCUGAAGAGUCACGUUCAUGGGAGAAGGCAGGCCCUGGUACAUCUGGAACCUGUAAGAACCUCUGAUUUAGGGCAGCAACCUGAUUUUACAGAGGAGAAAACGGGAGCCCUCAAAGAGACAGCCAACUGCACAGAGGUUACUGUCAGGAUGAGAUGACAAAAUAGAUUGGAAAAUACCUUGUCACCCGGAUAGUAUCCUCCACUUCUGUAGAUCAGUGACAUACUAUGAGCCACAGACUUGGAAAAUCAUGGAUCAUUUGGGCUGAAAGGGACCUUCAUUCAGAGGAUGAGGAAACAUACUCAGGAAAAGGAGACCUGCCAUGGGUUGCAAUCAUUAUGUGAAUACUUCUAAUGCCUCAUUAAAUCGGUUUCCUCAUCUGAAAACGAAU